AGUUCGGUCCUCGCUUUCACUGUCGUGCCAUUAUGUGCGAUAAUUAACAAUUCAUAAGGCACGCGGUGAAUGCCAAGAACGAACGA